GACGAAGGGGGCAAGCGUUGUUCGGAAUUACUGGGCGUAAAGCGCGUGUAGGUGGUUGCACGAGUCAGGCGUGAAAGCCUCGAGCUCAACUCGAGAAAUGCGCUUGAUACUGUGCGGCUAGAGGACCGGAGAGGGUAGUGGAAUUCCCGGUGUAGUGGUGAAAUGCGUAGAUAUCGGGAGGAACACCAGUGGCGAAGGCGACUACCUGGCCUGUUCUUGACGCUGAGGCGCGAAAGCUAGGGGAGCAAACGGG
rnacentral:rRNA from 1 species